AUUGAACGCUGGCGGCAUGCCUUACACAUGCAAGUCGAACGGCAGCACGGGUGCUUGCACCUGGUGGCGAGUGGCGAACGGGUGAGUAAUACAUCGGAACGUACCUUAUCGUGGGGGAUAACGCAGCGAAAGCUGUGCUAAUACCGCAUACGCCCUGAGGGGGAAAGCGGGGGAUCGCAAGACCUCGCGCGAUUAGAGCGGCCGAUGCCUGAUUAGCUAGUUGGUGGGGUAAAAGCCCACCAAGGCGACGAUCAGUAGCUGGUCUGAGAGGACGAGCAGCCACACCGGGACUGAGACACGGCCCAGACUCCUACGGGAGGCAGCAGUGGGGAAUUUUGGACAAUGGGGGCAACCCUGAUCCAGCAAUGCCGCGUGAGUGAAGAAGGCCUUCGGGUUGUAAAGCUCUUUUGUCAGGGAAGAAACACCGGCUCUAACACAGUCCGGGAAUGACGGUACCUGAAGAAUAAGCACCGGCUAACUACGUGCCAGCCGCCGCAGUAA
rnacentral:rRNA from 1 species